UGCAAAGAGCCGGCUUGGAGACCAGAUCCGGAUAAGUGGGAGGAUUUGAUCCAGCAUCAGUGGAGAGCAACAAGCGGCCGUGAAAAUCAGAUCUGCAUUCUCUUUUCAGAUGUGAAUCGCUGGUUGAUUCUGAAUGAACGCUUUGUGAUGAAGCCGUGCUGAUGGUUGGGUGAAUGAGCUCCAAAGAGGAUUGAGCAGAUGUAUUUGCAGCGUGUGGAUAUAUUGGUACUUGGAAAGAAAUAAAGAGUGUUUUUUUAA